rnacentral:rRNA from 1 species
UAAUACGAAGGGGGCUAGCGUUGUUCGGAAUUACUGGGCGUAAAGGGCGCGUAGGCGGUCUUGUAAGUCAGAUGUGAAAGCCCCGGGCUCAACCCGGGAAUAGCAUUUGAUACUGCGAGGCUUGAGUCCGGGAGAGGAUGGCGGAAUUCCCAGUGUAGAGGUGAAAUUCGUAGAUAUUGGGAAGAACACCGGUGGCGAAGGCGGCCAUCUGGACCGGUACUGACGCUGAGGCGCGAAAGCGUGGGGAGCAAACAGGAUUAGAUACCCUGGUAGUCCACGCCGUAAACGAUGAGUGCUAGACGCUGGGGGGUUAACCCUUCGGUGUCGCAGCUAACGCAUUAAGCACUCCGCCUGGGGAGUACGGCCGCAAGGUUG